UACGUAGGGUGCAAGCGUUAAUCGGAAUUACUGGGCGUAAAGCGUGCGCAGGCGGUGAUGUAAGACAGAUGUGAAAUCCCAGGGCUCAACCUUGGAACUGCAUUUGUGACUGCAUCGCUGGAGUGCGGCAGAGGGGGAUGGAAUUCCGCGUGUAGCAGUGAAAUGCGUAGAUAUGCGGAGGAACACCGGUGGCGAAGGCGGCAUCCUGGACCGGCAUUGACGCUGAGGCGCGGAAAGCCAGGGGAGCAAACGGG
rnacentral:rRNA from 1 species